CAGGCUGUCUGUUGCUGCUUGCUACACGGUUCUUGGAUUGAAGCCCAGAGUACACGGCCUGCUUGCCUAUGUUCCCCUACUGGCUGCCAAAGAAGGUGGCAUAAAAGCCCCCUGAGAUAAGGGGUAUAAGAGUUACUGAGCCCCAACUUGGGUUGAAGAUCUGUCAUAAGGUCAUUGGCCUGUUGUUUUGUGUGACUCUUUGUAACCCUGGAAGGGGUGGGAGUGAAUGUGACCUGCUUGGGGGCUGAGGUACCAGGAGUAGACCACAGCAGGGCUGAAGUGGCUGUUGGCAGGGGAACCAAAGGAGAAGACUUUGUGAGCCACAUAGGGGCAUUUUGAUGGGUUAUAGAGUGAGUGUGACCUGGUGAAGGGCUGAGGCACAAGGAGCAGACCACAGCAGGGCUGGAGUGGCUAUUGGCAGGAGGAACCAGAGGAGAAGACUUUGCCAGCCAGGUGGGGGCAUUUUGAUGUUUUUCAGGUGAGAUGUACAGAAUCCGCUCCGGAGCUUCUCCAGGUCUGUGUCGAUACCAGUGUAUAACAGCACUCCCGAAGUUCUGAAUGCCAGAAGCCUCACAGACUAUACGUGCAGUUUUAUUUUCUGCUCUGGUAAUCGACAACUGAGCUUGUCUCAGAUGUAUUUGUGCACAUCCAUCUAGAAAGAGCAAGAAAAGAAAACAUGAAAUUAACAUGAAUCUGGAGCAUGGACACAGAUCGACUCGGAGAGCUGCUUCUCUACCUCAAACUUUCCCUUCUCAGAAUCCUGGUCAAAGAUGGGUUUUCCUGAUGAAAAAUAGAGAAUCCGUUCCAGAGCUGCAUCAGGUCUCUGUCGAUACCAGUGUAUAUAAGCACUACUAAGGGUUAUGCCAGAAACAUGACAGUCAAUUUGUGCAGUUUUAUUUUCUGCCCUGGUGAUGGAUAGUUGAGAUUGUACCAGUACUUGGGCCUCUCCAUCUGCAGAGAAAAGAGACAAAAACCAUUUAAUCCGAAAUUGAAUGAACAUGGAGGACCUCCAAUCAUUGCUCAAUAACAUGUCUGCAUGGAGAAGCCUAGAGUGUAAAAAGCAACUUACAAGACCAAACUACUGAAGCAACAAGAUAAACUUGCAAUAGUAACAUUCUCACUAGGCUAUGAUGAACCUGCUGCUGAGAAAGAAAGGAAAAUGAAUUCUGAUCUCAGAAAAAGGGUGGGGUCAUUUGAGUAGAGGAAGUGACUGAUGAGCGAUUUCAAGGCAAUACAGAUUUGCAUUUACCUUAGAUAAAAGUUCAUAAGGCUACACUUUGAGAUAUGAACAUCUACUAACCUUCCCUCAUGCUAUCCAGCAACUCUUCUGACUGCUGCCUUGUUUAGAACUUUUGAAAAAGAGUAUCAGAUGAUUAUUAUAACAAUGGUUGCAGCUAUUGAAGUUCUCUGCACUCCCUUUUAAAAAAAACACAAUCAUCAGCAGAUUUGAUCAAGGAAUAAUACUCUCAGCAUGAAAAAAGGCAACUAAUAGAACUUUUUCAAGCAGUGAUGAAAAUAGAUCACUAAGGGUCUGAUGCCUUAUUCAAUGGGAAGUUCUUCAAUUGAUUUCAAUGAGUUUUGGAAUAAGCUCCAAUUCCUGGGGAGAAUUUACUCCAGAAAUUUUUCAUUCUGUCUUAACUCAGAGUCCCCUCAAGUUUAUAGUUAUGAUAUAAUUACUGAUUAGUUUUCCUUGACAACAAUCUCUUAAAUAAACGCAUUGUCCUUGCACUUAAUUUGACUCUUGCGUCAUGCAGACUCAGAGGUGCCUCAGGGAUUGUCUUUGUUUUCACCUAAAUCAAUAGAGUCCCAUUGUUUCAUAAGGGGUUUCGUAUGCUGUUUGUGAAUUCUGUUGCUAUCUCCACCCUGUCUGUGAGUUUCCCUUUGAGUAUCUGUUGGUGUCUAUUCCUCCCACUCCACAAGAGCAUGUAACUUUUAUUGGGUGACCUUCAUCUCUGUGCAGAGCCAGAACAAGGUCCUUACACUGUUUUAACCCCACGUAAGCCCUAUUUUGAGGGUUUAAGUGGGAAGUAAGUGCUGUAUAAACCUUGUCCUGGCCCCUCUACAGAGGGCUGAAUUUAACCCAUUAAACUUUACAAUAAACUAUUCUGAGAACUCCUUAAAAUCUGUAACAUUUGGAAUAUACUUUGCACGCUAUCCAAAGAAACAUAGCAACAAAUAUACCAUAUUUCAAAAGCAUAGUGAUUAGAUAUAUAGAUGGAGUGCUACCUGCACUAUCCCUGUUUGUGUGUGUGUGUGUGUGGGGGGGGAAUAUAC